rnacentral:rRNA from 1 species
GACGAACGCUGGCGGCGCGCUUAACACAUGCAAGUCGAACGGAAGGGCCUGCUUUCCCUUGUGGAUUGCGGGUACUCGAGUGGCGAACGGGUGAGUAACACGUGAGUGAUCUGCCCCCAACUUGGGUAUAAGCCUGGGAAACUGGGUCUAAUUCCCGAUAGGACUGCAGGGUGGUGCCUGUGGUGGAAAACGAUUUUCUAGUGGUUGGGGAUGAGCUCGCGGCCUAUCAGCUUGUUGGUGGGGUAAUGGCCUACCAAGGCGGCGACGGGUAGCCGGCCUGAGAGGGUGGACGGCCACAUUGGGACUGGGAUACGGCCCAGACUCCUACGGGAGGCAGCAGUGGGGAAUAUUGCACAAUGGGCGGAAGCCUGAUGCAGCGACGCCGCGUGGGGGAUGACGGCCUUCGGGUUGUAAACUCCUUUCGACCGCGAGGAAGCCACCUGGUUGGAAGGGUGGUGACGGUAGUGGUAGAAGAAGCACCGGCUAACUACGU